rnacentral:lncRNA from 1 species
CAGGAGAAUUCGCUUGAACCCGGGAGGCAGAGGUUGCGGUGCGCCGAGAUCGCGCCACUGCACUCCAGCCUAGGCGACAGAGGAAGACUCUAUCUGAAAAAGAAAAGAGAAAAAAAAAAGGCAUCAUUUUCUAGGUACCGUGACAGGGAAUAGGUUGGGAAGCAAUGACUUCAGGACAGGGGGAUGUUGAGUGAAUGGGGCUCAGCCCUGUAGCCAGUCAACAUACAGAGGCUUAAAGCAAAUUUCCAAAAGGCAUCCCUUUUCCUUCAAGAUACUACCACCCUCUAUUGGACAACUGCCCUGUUAAUAACUGUACAAAUCUAUGAGUGUUACAGCUCUUUUAGAAUUUGUCUAGCAGGUUUUCCAAUCUUCACUGAAAAGCUUUAAAAAAUAAAGUAAAAUUAUGAUGGAGGUCAUGGUACCUCCCAGAGUUGUGCAGCUCAUGUUUUGCACAACCAUUUAGGGGUUCUAAUGGAGCUCUGGGAUCCUCUCUGCCACAGCCUUUUUGUUUUAUGUGCUGUAUGAUAUAUUAUGGUUCCAUGUAAGAUUAUGUAUGGAAAAGUUCAUCUGUCAAAAACAAAAUGAAAAAUCACUGGAUGAGAUGAUCUAUAAUUUCUCUUCCACUUUGGAUUUGUAUUACUUCAUAGAAAAUACCUCUUAGGCUGGGCAUGAUGGCUCAUGCCUGUAACCCUAGCACUUUGGGAGGCCAAGGUGGAAGGAUUGCUUGAGCUCAGGAGUUCAAGAGCAGCCUGGGCAACAUAGUGAGACCCCAUCUCUAUUAUAAAUUUUUAAAAUUUUAAAUAAAUAAAUUAAAAAGAAAAUUUAUGAAAUACCUCUUACGAUUUUUGAAUUAUUUGAAUAUUCUUCCUCUAGUGGUUAGUGGUCUUGCAUAUGUCAUUUGAUGCUGGUAUUCCUAAUGGAUUUCAAUGGUAAACCAAGAAAGGAGAGCACUGGGAGUCCAGGUUUUUGAUACUGACGGAUAGAGAUAAUGAUUACU